UGGAAUUGCAACAUAGAUUCAAAUUGAAAACCUGUCAAAUUCAAUUUCGAUUCAACUGAAGCAACUAAGUUAUCAAAAACUCUUGUCAACUCAGUUUUUGGCACAGUUCGAAGCACAAAUGUUCCAUCAAAGACAGUUUCUGGAAAGAUAUUGACAAAAUUAUUAUCUAGAGUUGUCCUAAAAUCAUCCAAAUCGCCAAAAAAGGCUCAAUCUUUAAUUGAUUCUGCAGAAGAUUCAGCGAACGAAAGCGCGAAGAAAGCUACUAUAGAAGUUAACAGAUCAAAACCAAGAAACAAAAGUUUGUGUUUCCAAGAAAAUAGAGUUGGUGUUGCUGCUCCUGAGAGAUUGCCCGUUGUGGCGAAGCCUCGACUUUCUGGUAGCAUUACACCUUUUCACAGUGUUGAGAAAUGCAGCAAAUGCAGAUUUGAUAGGUUGGAUACAUCAAGUUAUUGGCUUUCUCAGAUUAAAUUAGCUGAAACUGUUGGAAAACAUAUCGCAGUUAUCAAAUUAUGCCUCUUGUAUGGUUCAUAACAAAAGUCACAUAAUCAUUAGUUAGAUACGUAAAUAGAGUAAUAAAAUGUCCAUGACUUUGCUGGAGAUACUGAUGUCAAGAUGAACUUUCUUCAGCAAAUAGAAGAUGUAAAUGUUGUAUGCAGAGUUAUGCCUCUUUGAUGCUUCAGAACAAAACCCACAUAAUCAUUCAUUGGAUAGAUAAAUUUUAAUUUCGUUUGGAUUACUAAUAAACUGACAUAUGAAGAAGAAGAAUAGUUGUUCAUAAUACCGUCUGUAAAUUUAUACAUACAUAAAGAAAAAUUAUACUCAUGUAAAUCAAAAUUAACCAAAUGAAAUACACAGUAAUAGAGAGCGCCUCACCCGAAGUACUAAUAUUGACAGAAGGCGAAUUGGCCAGGCAUAUGAACAGAUUGCCCAUUUCUUCCCAAUUUCUAUUCCCCACAAAAUUCAAUUCUGCUUUGCUACAAAAAUAUAUGAAAUUGGACCAUAAAAUUUUUUUUUUUAAAAAAAAACUAAUAAAUUUCUGGAGAACCACAUCGAAUUUGUGGAAAAAAAACCACCUUUUGGGAAAUCAAUGGAGAGUUUUGCUUUGUCUAUGAGUGGAAGAGAGGUUUUCACCGGUUGUAAAUGCA
rnacentral:lncRNA from 1 species